CACCUGGAAACAGAUGCUAAUACCGGAUAACAACAGAUGAUGCCUAUCAACUGUUUAAAAGAUGGUUCUGCUAUCACUCUUGGAUGGACCUGCGGUGCAUUAGCUAGUUGGUAGGGUAACGGCCUACCAAGGCGAUGAUGCAUAGCCGAGUUGAGAGACUGAUCGGCCACAUUGGGACUGAGACACGGCCCAAACUCCUACGGGAGGCAGCAGUC
rnacentral:rRNA from 1 species